GUAGGUGGCAAGCGUUGUCCGGAAUUAUUGGGCGUAAAGCGCGCGCAGGCGGUUCUUUAAGUCUGAUGUGAAAGCCCACGGCUCAACCGUGGAGGGUCAUUGGAAACUGGGGAACUUGAGUACAGAAGAGGAAAGCGGAAUUCCACGUGUAGCGGUGAAAUGCGUAGAGAUGUGGAGGAACACCAGUGGCGAAGGCGGCUUUCUGGUCUGUAACUGACGCUGAGGCGCGAAAGCGUGGGGAGCAAACAGGGAUUAGAUACCCUGGUAGUCCACGCCGUAAACGAUGAGUGCUAAGUGUUAGGGGGUUUCCGCCCCCUUAGUGCUGCAGCUAACGCGUUAAGCACUCCGCCUGGGGAGUACGGCCGCAAGGCUG
rnacentral:rRNA from 1 species